UGUUCAAAAUGAGGUCGUGGAUUGGGAAUGCAUCAAUGAGAUUACCAUUUUGUUCCGGAACAGCCUGCAAGAUCGAUCCCUGUUUCAGACUGCUUUUAUAUUUGAUAGAUAGAGUAUUUGGUGGCGACAACCAGACUAGGCACGUUUAUGAGGAAGGAGCGCGCAAAGGAAAUUGCUCUUUCAGUGGUCAGUGGCAUUAACUGUGAGUAUAAUCUUCAUGCUAUUGUUUUCUGGUAAUUAUGACCUCAUUUACAAAUUGAAUGAGAUGAGAAAGGUUUUCACUUCCAAAUUUUCUCCAUUCAGCAAGUAUUUUUGCUUAUGGGCAAACAAGCAGUGGAAAGACGUACACCAUGGUUGGUAUAACCGAAUACACAGUAGCAAACAUUUAUGACUAUAUACAUAGGUUAACUAUGAAAUGCUGAUUAGGUGUUGCUUUUUUAUUUCAUUUUCGUAAUCAAUUAUCAGUUUGUUUUCUGGUUUAAAACCUUUUUCUUCCCCUUUCCCUCUAUGUUCCCCAGCAUGAAGAAAGAGCAUUUGUUUUGAAGUUUUGUGCAAUAAAGAUCUACAAUUACGCUAUAAGAGAUCUCCUUACCGCGGAUAGUACUCCACUAAGGUUCUAGACGAUCCAGAGGUUUCCUUUGUGCGGGUGACUUUUUAUGUUGACAAACUUAAGUGGAAAAUGAGUAAAACCGGCUUGCACUUGUAUAUUAUUAGAUGGUUAGCUGCUUGUUUUUGCCAAUUCCAGUGAGUUGCUCGUUUGUUUUGUGAUCCUAUUCUGUCCAAGCUUCAGGAUUUGAAUUACAUUUGCUUAUUUUGACUUUUUAUGUUGAGAAACUUAAGGGGAAAAUGAGUAAAACCAGGUUGCCUUUUCCACUUCUUUAGUCUUCCCCUUUCUCACGGUUAUUAAUCGAUGACGCUUACUAUAACAUAAUAGGUAAUAUGUUGAAAACGUGCCUUUCAUUCAGUUGGUUUCUCAACCUUUGUCCAGGCAGGGAUGUAGAAACUAGACAAAACUAGGAUCAACAGAAGAUGAUUUUCGUAUGGGUUAAGCUCCCGAUGAAAUUAGCAUGUGCCUAGAAAUCAUGUAUGUGCUAAGCUUCUUUUAAAUUU